GAAGAUAUAGCUCAGUGGUAGAGUGCAUGCUUAGCAUGCCCAAGGUCCUGGGUUCAAGCCCCAGUCCCUCCA
rnacentral:tRNA from 1 species